AUACGGAGGGGGCUAGCGUUGUUCGGAUUUAUUGGGCGUAAAGCGAGCGCAGGCGGCCAAGUAUGUCGGAUGUGAAAGCCCUCGGCUCAACCGAGGAAUUGUGUUCGAAACUGCUUGGCUUGAGUAUGGGAGAGGGAAGCGGAAUUCCCGGUGUAGAGGUGAAAUUCGUAGAUAUCGGGAGGAACACCAGAGGCGAAGGCGGCUUCCUGGACCAACACUGACGCUGAGGCUCGAAAGCGUGGGGAGCAAACAGGAUUAGAAACCCUAGUAGUCC
rnacentral:rRNA from 1 species